rnacentral:rRNA from 1 species
CCUACGGGUGGCAGCAGUCGAGAAUCAUUCACAAUGGGGGAAACCCUGAUGGUGCGACGCCGCGUGGGGGAAUGAAGGUCUUCGGAUUGUAAACCCCUGUCAUGUGGGAGCAAAUUAAAAAGAUAGUACCACAAGAGGAAGAGACGGCUAACUCUGUGCCAGCAGCCGCGGUAAUACAGAGGUCUCAAGCGUUGUUCGGAAUCACUGGGCGUAAGGCGUGCGUAGGCUGUUUCGUAAGUCGUGUGUGAAAGGCGCGGGCUCAACCCGAGGACGGCACAUGAUACUGCGAGAAUAGAGUAAUGGAGGGGGAACCGGAAUUCUCGGUGUAGCAGUGAAAUGCGUAGAUAUCGAGAGGAACACUCGUGGCGAAGGCGGGUUCCUGGACAUUAACUGACGCUGAGGCACGAAGGCCAGGGGAGCGAAAGGGAUUAGAUACCCUGGUAGUC